GACGUGGGGCGCGAGCGUUGUCCGGAUUUAUUGGGCGUAAAGAGCUCGUAGGCGGCUUGUCGCGUCGACUGUGAAAUCCCGCGGCUCAACUGCGGGUCUGCAGUCGAUACGGGCAGGCUAGAGUUCGGUAGGGGAGACUGGAAUUCCUGGUGUAGCGGUGAAAUGCGCAGAUAUCAGGAGGAACACCCGUGGCGAAGGCGGCUCUCUGGGACGGUACUGACGCUGAGACGCGAAAGCGUGGGGAGCGAACAGG
rnacentral:rRNA from 1 species